AUUGAACGCUGGCGGCAGGCCUAACACAUGCAAGUCGAACGGUAACAGGAAGCAGCUUGCUGCUUUGCUGACGAGUGGCGGACGGGUGAGUAAUGUCUGGGAAACUGCCUGAUGAGGGGGAUAACCUCUGGAAACGGUAGCUAAUAACGCCUAACGUCGCAAGACCAAAGGGGGGGACCUUAGGGCCUCUUGCCAUCGGAUGUGCCCAGAUGGGAUUAGCUAGUAGGUGGGGUAACGGCUCACCUAGGCGACGAUCCCUAGCUGGUCUGAGAGGAUGACCAGCCACACUGGAACUGAGACACGGUCCAGACUCCUACGGGAGGCAGCAGUGGGGAAUAUUGCACAAUGGGCGCAAGCCUGAUGCAGCCAUGCCGCGUGUAUGAAGAAGGCCUUCGGGUUGUAAAGUACUUUCAGCGGGGAGGAAGGGAGUAAAGUUAAUACCUUUGCUCAUUGACGUUACCCGCAGAAGAAGCACCGGCUAACUCCGUG
rnacentral:rRNA from 1 species